ensembl:lncRNA novel transcript
GUUCUGGGACUGGCCUUUUGCCUCCUGCCUCCCACAGCUCAGGUGGAGAGAGGAGGGCCCUGCCCUUACCGACUGGAGAGCAUCAGCUCAGCCUUCAGCUCCACCAGAGAGGCUGCAGUGUGUGAAGACAGCUCAUUCUGCGGGAGGAGGAAGAGCAGAGAAACCACCACCCUAUGGGUCGUUCUCAGAUCCCUCGUGUGCUGGCUGUCUCCCACCCAGGCUCAGUUUGCACUGCUAAUCUGUUACGUCUUUCUUGGGCAGCUGUUGUGGAGCCUGGUCCAUCCUGAGCACUCCAGUGUUCCAUUUCAAGGAUCUCUUCCUGGCUCCCCUCCCACCAGAGAAUGUGGCCUUGGGAUCAAGGCGUGGAGAGCUGCCAGCUACUGCCACCUGCCACAAAGCCUCAUCACCCUUGCGUAUCUCUCUCCCCUCUCCGUCCUCGGCAUGGGGUCACAUUGUGGGUCAUUAUUUCCUUUCACCAAGGUAUGAGCAGAGGGAGAGAGGGCUGGAAAAAGAGACUCUCCCUUUGCUAACUGAUGAGGGAGAAGUAUGGGGUCCAAGUGGGCCUGCCCCUUGCCUAAUUUUUGCCCAAUUUUUUGGCCUCUGGAGUCCCUGGUAGACUUCUUAACUUCUUGCACACAAGGUUACCAUGUGUCUAAUUGCUCAGCUCCAGUUAGAGUGGUGGAGGGAAACUGGUAUCAAUGAAUGAAUGAAUGAAUGGAUGGAUGGUUUAAUGACAGCUUGGAGAACCGACUGGGGUUUGAGCAAGAAACAGGAAGAGAAAGCCAACAUCUUUUAGCUCACCAAAUACUUUCAUGCCCCUUGGGAGGAAGAAAAAUGGAUAUGGGAAAUGCAGAGCAUGGAAGAGCUUAAAUUGAGCAUAAAGGACAUAAAACUAGAUAAGUAAGAUCAGAAAUAAAAGAUGAGUCAUCAUCGAAUCCAAACCUUUACAUUUUCAGCAGAGGGUGCCAAAACCUCAAGGGGAUAGUGACUUCCUUAAAAUUACAGAACCAGAGUGAAGACUGGGGUCUUUUGACUCUUUUUUUUUUUUUUUUUCUGUCCCUAACAAAAUGUUGCUCUUUUCUUCUCCAUACUUUUAUAUUUUCAAACUCAUUUAUUCCAGAAAAUUACCUGCCUUCUAACCUGGAGUUCCUCUUUUUUGAUCUAAAGAAGUUAUCCAAACUUACCUUGAGCUUACUGUCCUUGAAGCCAUUUUGGCCUUUGUUUUGUGGCCUCAAGGCUGCCCUCACUUAGAAAGGAUGAGUGACGGUAGCAGAAGCCAGCCAAGCAGGGCCAGUUUCUCCCAAGGCUGGCCCCAUGAAAGGUUUGGCUUGGGUUCUCACCAGGGUCCACAAGUCUUGCCUCCUAGAAGUUUGGUCCAGUGGUCUGCAGUCCUGGGAAUUUAUGCCGUCUCAAACAGAGGUUUUCAGACCUUGCCUGAUGAUCCAGGGACUGGAACUGAACACACGUUGUACCUCUUUAUAGCAACUUGGGUGUCCCAAACAGGACCCAUCACUUCCAAGUCCCAGGCUAGGAUUUUCUAACCAAGUAUGUAGUUAGAGGAAAAUUUAAUCCACAUGUAUCUGACUCACUGAUCUUUAAAUCAUCCUAGAGUUUGAUUCUGGGAAUGGUUUGAUGUGUACUCUGCUUUUUUUCAACUUUUGGAUUGGUGCACUGGCCAAGACAUAAUAAAUAGCAACCCUGAGAGAGAGAAGGAAGCUUCAAGUAGAGGCAUGACCUGCAGGCUCUUCCCUUCGUCCCAGCUGGAGACAGGCGCCCAGCAGGAGUAGAGAGUAGGCCAGAAGCCCAGAAAUGUGCCUUAGGUUAACCUCACCCUCAGCCUCCUCUUCUGCUUGUAUUUCUGGGAUGCAGAGCCCGACUAGGGAAAAAUCACUCAGCCUAAAAGAUGGUAACACCACAGAUUUAUGGCAUCUGAUCUUUGUUGCACCCUCCAGGGUACAAACUAAUCCCAGCUUGUGAUUCCUACUGUCAUCUAAGGUCAUUCCAGGCCUUUUCCACUCUUCUGGAGAUCUCGAGCACUUUUUUUCAACAAUUUCUCAUUUUGAAAAGAAAAAGGAGUCCAUCAGGAAAGAAUUUCCUCCAUUGCCUGCGACGCUCUACAAACCUCCAUGCCUCAGCCACCCUCGUUUUCCAUGAGGUCUCCCUGUCAGGGCUGGUUCCUCAGAUCUCCCCCCAGUAAUCCUCCUUCAUGAAAACCUCAGAGUCUCAGAGUCUGUUUCCGCUGAUGUGAGCUAAGAAUGUUUCAGGAAGAGGGGUAUGUCAUCGGGAUCCCAUUUCUUCCUGUGUCCUCCGGGACCUUGCUCUAAGGUCCUCUCUUUCGUCCUGAGACUUUUCUGAAUCUUUAAGCUCCACCUCUCCUUAGCCAUACAUACUCAUUCAAGUAUUUCCCGUACUAAAAAACAAAAUGAAACCUUCCUUCCACCUGAAGUCUCUAUGACCCCUCAUGUCUUCUCUUUUAGUCAAGCCUCUCGUAAGUGUCCCCUGUUUUUUCUCCCUUCAUGUCACAUUGACUCCACAACGCAUUGUAGCCUGGCAUGCACUGUCAUCACAGAAAUGCCCUCUGUGGGUCAGGCACGGUGGCUCACGCCUGUCAUCCCAGCACUUUGGGAGGCCGAGUUGGGCAGAUCACCUGAUGUCAGCAGUUCAAGACCAGCCUGGCCAACAUAGUGAAAACCCAUCUCUACAAAAAUAUAAAAAUUAGCUGGGCAUGAUGGCAGGUGCCUGUAAUCCCAGCUACUCAGGAGGCUGAGGUGGAAGAAUCACCUGAACCCGGGAGGCGGAGGUUGCAGUGAGCUGAGAUUGUGCCAUUGCACUCCAGCCUGGGUGACAGAGUG